GAGGCACUACGGUGCUGAAGUAACAAAUGCCCUGCUUCCAGGAAAAGCCUCUAAGCAUCAGGUAACAUCAAAUCGUACCCCAAACCGACACAGGUGGUCAGGUAGAGAAUACCAAGGCGCUUGAGAGAACUCGGGUGAAGGAACUAGGCAAAAUGGUGCCGUAACUUCGGGAGAAGGCACGCUGAUAUGUAGGUGAAGCCCCUGCGGGUGGAGCUGAAAUCAGUCGAAGAUACCAGCUGGCUGCAACUGUUUAUUAAAAACACAGCACUGUGCAAACACGAAAGUGGACGUAUACGGUGUGACGCCUGCCCGGUGCCGGAAGGUUAAUUGAUGGGGUUAGCGGUAACGCGAAGCUCUUGAUCGAAG
rnacentral:rRNA from 1 species